rnacentral:rRNA from 1 species
UUUUGAUUAUAAUUUAAAGUAGGGCCUGCCCACUGAGUAUUUGAAGGGCCGCAGUAUUUUGACUGUGCAAAGGUAGCAUAAUCAUUAGUUUUUUAAUUGAAAGCUUGUAUGAAUGGUUUGAUGAGAAAAAAGCUUUCUAUAUCUUAAUUUUUAAGAAUUUUAUUUUUAAGUUAAAAAGCUUAAAUUUUUAUAAUAGACGAGAAGACCCUAUAGAGUUUUAUUUUUGUUAAAAUUUAAAUUUUUAGAAUUUAAUAAUUUUAAUUUUUAAUAAUAAUUUGAUUGGGGUGAUUAAAAAAUUAAAUAAACUUUUUUUAUAUUAAAACAUAGAUUUAUGAAUUUUUGAUCCAUAUAAAUGAUUAAAAGAGUAAAUUACCUUAGGGAUAACAGCGUUAUUUUUUUUUAGAGUUCAGAUCGAAAAAAAAGAUUGCGACCUCGAUGUUGGAUUAAAGUUAAUUUUAGGUGCAGAAGCUUGAAAAUUUGGUCUGUUCGACCAUUAAAACUUUACA